AGGACAGUAGCUCAGUUGGUAGAGCAUCGGUCUCCAAAACCGAAGGUCGCAGGUUCGAUCCCUGUCUGUCCUGCCA
rnacentral:tRNA from 5 species